AACGGGACGGAACGGGACGGGACGGGACGGGGACUCAGAUGUUUCUCAUAAACAAGGAAUGAAUCUCUGGGUUGGCCACUCCUGGAUUCCCUAGCUUGAAACACACAUUCAGGUAGUGGACAUCUGAAACCCUAAAACAUCUCAUCUGUGCAAAAAAGAGGAAUGAUCCAGGUUGGGAGAGUGAGAAGCUCGCACCACUUCGAAAGCGUCUGCCUGGAUGCUGAAGUUCGGGUUGUUCUUGUAGCUCUGGAUCACACAGGACUUCACACCUUGUCCUCCGCACUCAAUGAGAGCCUGAGGCCGAUCCACAGAGAGGAGCUGCACCUUCUUCAUUUCCCGAACUCCCCAGAAGAGAACCUGAGAAGACCAGCAGAGCCAUCAUCACAGAUCCACGGAGGAGCCCCACACCUGCCCUGGCUCUGUGUGGAAAAGUCAGACCUGCUCCCUGAGAACCACGCUGUGUUCCUCCAGGAAAGAACUGCACAGCUUUUUGAGGGCUCAUUCUUUUUCUCUAGGUCUCCCGCCCAUUCCAUACCACCUCUCCUACAAUUCAGGUGGGGCCACUGCCCUUGAGUGCCACAGAACAACUCAGCUCCUCCGCUGACUCGUACCUCCACUCGGUAUUUGCUCAGCACCGGCCGAAUGUUGGCAGGAACCGGGUAGAUCUGGGUGAUGUCUGGUGGCUCAAUGGGUAGGAGGCCUUGCAGCCCGGAAGAAGGAACCUACCG
rnacentral:lncRNA from 1 species